CGGACGGGUGAGUAACGCGUGAGAAUCUGCCUUGAGGUCGGGGACAACCACUGGAAACGGUGGCUAAUACCGGAUAAGCCUAAGGGUGAAAGAUUAAUUGCCAAAAGAGGAGCUCGCGUCUGAUUAGCUAGUUGGUGGGGUAAGAGCCUACCAAGGCGACGAUCAGUAGCUGGUCUGAGAGGAUGAUCAGCCACACUGGAACUGAGAAACGGUCCAGACUCCUACGGGAGGCAGCAGUGGGGAAUUUUCCGCAAUGGGCGAAAGCCUGACGGAGCAAUACCGCGUGAGGGAGGAAGGCUCUUGGGUUGUAAACCUCUUUUCUCAGGGAAGAAGAACUGACAGUACCUGAGGAAUCAGCAUCGGCUAACUCCGUGCCAGCAGCCGCGGUAAUACGGAGGAUGCAAGCGUUAUCCGGAAUGAUUGGGCGUAAAGCGUCCGCAGGUGGCAGUGAAAGUCUGCUGUUAAAGAGUCUGGCUCAACCAGAUAAGGGCAGUGGAAACUACACAGCUAGAGUGCGUUCGGGGUAGAGGGAAUUCCUGGUGUAGCGGUGAAAUGCGUAGAGAUCAGGAAGAACACCGGUGGCGAAGGCGCUCUACUAGGCCGCAACUGACACUGAGGGACGAAAGCUAGGGGAGCGAAUGGGAUUAGAUACCCCAGUAGUCCUAGCCGUAAACGAUGGAUACUAGGCGUUGCUUGUAUCGACCCGAGCAGUGCCGUAGCUAACGCGUUAAGUAUCCCGCCUGGGGAGUACGCACGCAAGUGUGAAACUCAAAGGAAUUGACGGGGGCCCGCACAAGCGGUGGAGUAUGUGGUUUAAUUCGAUGCAACGCGAAGAACCUUACCAAGGCUUGACAUGUCGCGAACCGUGGGGAAACUCAUGGGUGCUUCGGGAGCGCGAACACAGGUGGUGCAUGGCUGUCGUCAGCUCGUGUCGUGAGAUGUUGGGUUAAGUCCCGCAACGAGCGCAACCCUCGUACUUAGUUGCCAUCAUUCAGUUGGGAACUCUAAGGAGACUGCCGGUGACAAACCGGAGGAAGGUGGGGAUGACGUCAAGUCAGCAUGCCCCUUACGUCUUGGGCUACACACGUACUACAAUGCUCCGGACAGAGGGCAGCGAGCAUGCGAAUGCAAGCAAAUCCCGAAAACCGGAGCUCAGUUCAGAUCGCAGGCUGCAACUCGCCUGCGUGAAGUUGGAAUCGCUAGUAAUUGCAGGUCAGCAUACUGCAGUGAAUUCGUUCCCGGGCCUUGUACACACCGCCCGUCACACCAUGGAAGCUGGUAGUGCCCGAAGUCAUUACCCCAACUGCAAAGAGGGGGAUGCCGAAGGCAGGACUGGUGACUGGGGUGAAGUCGUAACAAGGUAGCC
rnacentral:rRNA from 1 species